UUGAACGCUGGCGGCAUGCCUAACACAUGCAAGUCGAACGGUAGGGACUUCGGUCCCGAGAGUGGCGGACGGGUGAGUAAUGCAUGGGGAUCUGCCUGACGGUGGGGGACAACGUAGGGAAACUUACGCUAAUACCGCAUACGUUCUGAGGAAGAAAGCGGGGGCUCGCAAGACCUCGCGCCGACAGAGGAACCCAUGUCCGAUUAGCUAGUUGGUGAGGUAAAGGCUCACCAAGGCGACGAUCGGUAGCUGGUCUGAGAGGAUGACCAGCCACACUGGAACUGAGACACGGUCCAGACUCCUACGGGAGGCAGCAGUGGGGAAUAUUGGACAAUGGGCGCAAGCCUGAUCCAGCAAUGCCGCGUGUGUGAAGAAGGCCUGCUGGUUGUAAAGCACUUUCGCCGGGGAGGAAGGUCUCCAACUUAAUACGUUGGGGAAUUGACGCUACCCGGAUAAGAAGCACCGGCUAACUCCGU
rnacentral:rRNA from 1 species